GGGCCAACUCAAAGAGACACCUCAGCACCACAAGAGAAAUGUUCCCCAAGACCAAUGUGCCGUCCACCUGUGUCAUCUGGUGUCUACAAGAUGGCUCAGUCAGUUUUACAGAAGUAUUCUGUCAGUGGAGGAGUCAAGGAUCUCUUAUCCCAAGUGACCAAUGAAGAUAUAAUAAUGGCCCGUGGAUGUAGCUUGACUCCGUUUCAGAGACCAGAAAGGACAUCCCAUCAGACCAAAACUAUUCAAGUGCAGAAGGGAAUAGAACCAUCCACCAUUUGUGUACCACUCCUGCUAGUCAAGUCAUGCCUGUUGAGUUACAGCUUGCUUCUAGAAUCUGCCACAUUCAAAACCUGACCACUGCAACAGCACAGUUUAACCAGCAGAGGACAGCACUUGGACAUAAAUCUCAUCCUGAAAAGAAGAGGCUGUUAUGUGAAGGUGUUUCUGUUGAUUCUACUGGGGUUUCAGCACAGACAGACUGUGUUUCCCAUAUGCCUAAACAGACGUCAGAUGCUCUGGAGGACUGGCAGACAAUGGCAGAGUAUUACAUGGCAACAUUGUGUCCCAGUGAGCUCAGAAUGUUCUGGAACCCAGCACCUCCUAAAUUCAUCUGUGCUCCCUUUGUUAUGAAAGACACACUUUUCCCCAAAUACCAGAAAAAACUGGCACACCUGUGCAAAGAGAAUCUGUUGGAUGAGCUGCACAAUGUGGUGGAGUCAGUUAGCCAUGUGAUGGACACAGAACAGGCUACUUCUGAGGUUUUUUUAUUUAAAGAGAAUGUCUAA
rnacentral:lncRNA from 12 species